rnacentral:sRNA from 1 species
AACGGGCGCGCCGGGAUUUGGGGGAUAAAGCGCGGCCCCGCGCACAGUUGCGGCGGGAGAACGGCGGGGCCGAGAGCGUGACUCGCCCGCUCCGCGUUGCCUGCCCGCGCCGCUCGCGCAGCCAUGUCCGAAGAGAAGCCCAAGGAGGGCGUGAAGACAGAGAAUGACCACAUCAACCUGAAGGUGGCCGGGCAGGACGGCUCCGUGGUGCAGUUCAAGAUCAAGAGGCACACGCCGCUGAGCAAGCUGAUGAAGGCCUACUGCGAGAGGCAGGUGCGGCGCCUCGCUCCCCCGCAGGGCCUCCCCAUGUGCGCGCUGGUCCUGUGCGUUCCAGGCAUCCCCAGAGCACGAGCGUCGGGGCUGGACCCAGAUGCAGCUGCUCGAGGCACCCUCUUCAUGGAUGGGCAGGCGGGGGCUUGUGCUGUAAACUUGGUCCAGGCUGGGCUUGCCCCCCAUGGCCUUUUAUAAGGUGGAGAGACCUAGAGGCUCAGAGAAGUGUGGUGGGUUUUUCUUCCUGACAGGGCGGCUGCCCAGGGUGCUGUGUUCUCCAUGGGGUACUAACAUCUGUGAAGUCUGUGAUGCUGAAGGCUCUUGGGGGCCCUGCUCAGGUCUGGCCAUUCUGGGGCUGCUGGUGGCAUGUGCCUCAUGCCGCUGUCACCCCGUCCUCGCGUAUGAGCUGGCGUGACCCUGGAGAGACACCGCCCUCAUCUGCAGUGUGGUUUUUCCAUUUUGUUAGGA